UCACUGACAUUAGAUACCCCUGUAGUCCCAGCCGUAAACUUAUGCGCGUUAGGUGUAUCGGUGACCACGAGUUACCGAGGUGCCGAAGGGAAACCGUGAAACGUGCCGCCUGGGAAGUACGGUCGCAAAGCUGAAACUUAAAGGAAUUGGCGGGGGAGCACCACAACAGGUGGAGCCUGCGGUUUAAUUGGACUCAACGCCGGGAAGCUCACCGGAUAGGACAGCAGAAUGAUUGCCGGGCUGAAGACCCUGCAUGACUAGCUG
rnacentral:rRNA from 1 species